UCCAGACUCCUACGGGAGGCAGCAGUGGGGGAUAUUGCACAAUGGGGGAAACCCUGAUGCAGCGACGCCGCGUGGGUGAAGAAGCGCCUCGGCGCGUAAAGCCCUGUCAGUAGGGAAGAAAAUGACGGUACCUGAAGAAGAAGCCCCGGCUAACUACGUGCCAGCAGCCGCGGUAAUACGUAGGGGGCAAGCGUUAUCCGGAUUCACUGGGUGUAAAGGGAGCGUAGACGGCGACGCAAGUCUGGAGUGAAAGCCCGGGGCCCAACCCCGGAACUGCAUUGGAAACUGUAUUUCUAGAGUGUCGGAGAGGCAAGUGGAAUUCCUGGUGUAGCGGUGAAAUGCGUAGAUAUCAGGAGGAACACCAGUGGCGAAGGCGGCUUGCUGGACGAUGACUGACGUUGAGGCUCGAAAGCGUGGGGAGCAAACAGGAUUAGAUACCCCAGUAG
rnacentral:rRNA from 1 species